rnacentral:rRNA from 1 species
GACGAACGCUGGCGGCGUGCCUAACACAUGCAAGUCGAGCGGUUCAAGCAGCAAUGUUUGGAUAGCGGCGGACGGGUGAGUAACGCGUGGGCAACCUGCCUUGUACAGGGGGAUAACACAGGGAAACUUGUGCUAAUACCGCAUAACAUCAUUAAGUGGCAUCACUUGAUGAUCAAAGGAGCAAUCCGGUAUAAGAUGGGCCCGCGUCCGAUUAGCUAGUUGGUGGUGUAACGGACCACCAAGGCGACGAUCGGUAGCCGAACUGAGAGGUUGAUCGGCCACAUUGGGACUGAGACACGGCCCAGACUCCUACGGGAGGCAGCAGUGGGGAAUAUUGCACAAUGGAGGAAACUCUGAUACAGCAACGCCGCGUGAAGGAUGAAGGUCUUCGGAUUGUAAACUUCUUUAGCCAGGGACGAAACAAUGACGGUACCUGGAAAAUAAGCCACGGCUAACUACGUGCUAGCCGCCGCUGUAAUAC